CAGUAGUCUGCACAUUUGGU
rnacentral:miRNA from 1 species